rnacentral:rRNA from 1 species
UACGGGGGGUGCAAGCGUUAUUCGGAAUGACUGGGCGUAAAGCGCACGUAGGCUGCUUGCUAAGUCCGAUGUGAAAGCCCUGGGCUCAAUCCAGGAAGUGCAUUGGAUACUGGCUUGCUAGAGUAUAGGAGAGGAGAGCGGAAUUUCUGGUGUAGAGGUGAAAUUCGUAGAUAUCAGAAGGAACAACAGCGGCGAAGGCGGCUCUCUGGACUAUUACUGACGCUGAGGUGCGAAAGCGUGGGGAGCAAACAGG